AAAAUUAAUGUAAAUUGCACAAUAAACUUAGUUGUUUUAUUUAUGAAUUUAUUCUUUUGCUUUUCAUCGUUUCUUCUGAGGUUAAUACGAAGUUUUUCUUUGUCUUUGAGUUUGGUAUUGACAUAAACUUUUAUGUUGAAAUAGCCAUCAAAAAUUAAUCUUUUUUGUGAAUACACGAUAAGGCACAAAAUUGCAUACCAAUUGAAGCUUUUCUGCUACUAUCUCACACUUGAUAUUUCUCUUUCAAAACCAUAGACGUUUUAAAAAAAUUCUUUAUGUUAAAUUAUAUAGGUUAGAAAAGAAUAAAGCUCCUCGAGGAGUAGAAAACUGUAGAAUAUUCAAAGAAGUUGUGUAGCAACCUUUCUAAAUGGAUAGUCAGUAGUAAUUAUUGAUAUGGUUCAAGAUAUUUUUCCCGAUGGAUACACCUAUGGAUACUGAGAUAAGACUUGGCACUGAAUCAUGUGAUUUUUGGCCGUGCAUUUUUCAUAGAAGAAAACGAUUUUGAAGCUCUACAACAACGAAAACGAAAAUACUCUACCAUGCAUUAAGUGAGAGAACUAUCAAGAAACCAAUAGUGCUCUUCAAUUAAAAAAACUGAAGGGUUUAUAACACUAAAGAAUGGCAAUUUCUUCCUCAGAAGAACCGUCUUUUCUGGUCGUCAAUUCAUCAUCACUCUGACGAUCCUCAUCAAACUUGGACUUCUCAGGAACAAAUGUUUCUUUCUCUUCACUCAUUUUCUAUCUGACUGACGGAGUCAAAACACCACAGCUAACUGAAAAAAAACUUACUCGAGAAAAACCUCCCCAGAAUCGAACACCUGUGAUGUAAAUGAAUGAUAAGAAUCAUCAGCCAUGAAAGGAUGUACCCAAAUGCCUGCUGUAGCUAUUACGUUUGAACAAAGUUUCAAUUCAGAUUGUCUAGAAUUUUUGUUUGGUACGAACGACAUUACAAGUGGUAAUAAAUGAACGUCUGGGAGCAGCUUGCUUUUGACAAAAAGUUUUCCAAAUUAUGCUGGUUAAAAAACCUCAACUAUUUCCCAACUAUACAAAAGCCAUAAAAUGUGGUAGUUGUGGACAUUUUUUAUGCUAAGUCACAUGCUCCUCGCAUUAAAAGCGGAAAUUUCAUUUUACAACGACGAAUAGCUGCUGAUGAAUUGUUUUAAAUAAUUAAAUGCCCUAAGGAUAGCAACAAUCUAAUGGAUCUGGAUGCUAUAAAUGGGCAGCGAUGUGACAAAAGAGCAAGCUUGAAUGCUGUCUAGACAAGUAAUAUAAUCAUGCAGUUAGCCACUAUUGCAGCAGUGUUUUAAAUAGUUGCAGGCGAUAGCCGUCUGUCUAAGACUUAGAGGACCUUGUCGGCGAUUUGAGAUUUCAAAGCGAAGGAAAAUGGCGAAUAAAUGUAUUUUCCCAUGAUGUAAUUAACAGAAAUAUAUCUAGAUAUUAUUGUGA